GAUGAACGCUGGCGGCGUGCCUAAUACAUGCCAGUCGAGCGAACGGACGAGAAGCUUGCUUCUCUGAUGUUAGCGGCGGACGGGUGAGUAACACGUGGAUAACCUACCUAUAAGACUGGGAUAACUUCGGGAAACCGGAGCUAAUACCGGAUAAUAUUUUGAACCGCAUGGUUCAAAAGUGAAAGACGGUCUUGCUGUCACUUAUAGAUGGAUCCGCGCUGCAUUAGCCAGUUGGUAAGGUAACGGCUUACCAAGGCAACGAUGCAUAGCCGACCUGAGAGGGUGAUCGGCCACACUGGAACUGAGACACGGUCCAGACUCCCACGGGAGGCAGCAGUAGGGAAUCUUCCGCAAUGGGCGAAAGCCUGACGGAGCAACGCCGCGUGAGUGAUGAAGGUCUUCGGAUCGUAAAACUCUGUUAUUAGGGAAGAACAUAUGUGUAAGUAACUGUGCACAUCUUGACGGUACCUAAUCAGAAAGCCACGGCUAACUACGUG
rnacentral:rRNA from 1 species